rnacentral:pre_miRNA from 2 species
AAUUUCAGCUGAAAAAGUCAUGAACAUAAAACUUGUAGAACUCAUUAAGACAUACAACUUUUAUUUUGGUCAUUUCUUCAUUCAAUAAAGUGAUACUAACAUUGUUCACAAAAUUUACAUAUCUCUCAUAUAGUUUUAUAAACUUUGUGAACAAUAUUAUUAUCACUUUGUCAGAUGAAGAAAUGACUAAAAUAAAAGUUGUAUGUCUUAAUGAGUUAUACAACUUUGUUGUUGAUAACUUUUUCAGUUGAAAUC